UUAUUGGAGAGUUUGAUCCUGGCUCAGGAUGAACGCUGGCGGCGUGCCUAAUACAUGCAAGUCGAGCGAAUGGAUUAAGAGCUUGCUCUUAUGAAGUUAGCGGCGGACGGGUGAGUAACACGUGGGUAACCUGCCCAUAAGACUGGGAUAACUCCGGGAAACCGGGGCUAAUACCGGAUAA
rnacentral:rRNA from 2 species